AUGAAAUUUUCAAUAAAUCUGAAUUCUCCUCUAGUUCUCCCCCAUGAUAUUUACAUUUACCUUUGCCUUUUCUUUUUUUUUUCAGACACUCUUCGGAAAAAAAACGGAGAACUUCAGGAUGAAACAGACACUCUUCGGAAAAAAAACGGUAAAUUUUCUGAUAUCCCAUUGCUCUUGAGCCCCUCCGAAGAGACUGGUUCAGCCCUUUCAUCUUGUGUGCCGUUUCAUCUAUUUCGCUUCUGUCGGCAUGCCUUCUCUUGCACGUCCUGUCUACGGGCUCCACCUCAA
rnacentral:lncRNA from 9 species